UACGAAGGGGGCUAGCGUUGCUCGGAAUCACUGGGCGUAAAGCGCACGUAGGCGGAUUUCUAAGUCGGGGGUGAAAUCCCGGGAGCUCAACUCCGGAACUGCCUUCGAUACUGGCGAUCUCGAGUCCGGGAGAGGUGAGUGGAACUGCGAGUGUAGAGGUGAAAUUCGUAGAUAUUCGCAAGAACACCAGUGGCGAAGGCGGCUCACUGGCCCGGUACUGACGCUGAGGUGCGAAAGCGUGGGGAGCAAACAGGG
rnacentral:rRNA from 1 species